CGAUGUGAAGACACGCUGGCUACAACAUCUGCCACCCCACUGACUGCCAGGGCUGACGUGGCUGGUGAGGUGGGUGUCCCCAUCCUUCCUCACCGCUCCACGUGCGUCCCACCCGACAGGAGGAUCACUUCCCUGUCACUGGCAUAUGAGCAGCUGCACUCCCCUGCUAGAACUUCCAAACAAGCUCUCAAAACCUCAAAAUUACUAGCAUAGUAAAAUUUAAGUGUCAAGAAAAUAGAGUUUAAGUGCUUU
rnacentral:snRNA from 1 species